CAUGUCUUUUUGAUUAUAAUUUAAAGUCUGGCCUGCCCUAUGAUUUAUUAAUUAAAUGGCCGCGAUAUUUUGAUCGUGCAAAGGUAGCAUAAUAAUUAGUUUUUUAAUUGAGAACUGGUAUGAAUGGUCGGACGAGGAAAAGACUGUCUCAAUUUAAUUUAAAUUAGAAUUUUAUUUUUAAGUCAAAAAGCUUAAAUAUAUUUAAAAGACGAGAAGACCCUAUAGAGUUUUAUAUAAUAUGUAAUUUUAAAGAAUGAAGUAUUUAAUAUUUUUUAAUUAGUAUUAUAUUUGGUUGGGGUGACUAAAAAAUUAAUUUAACUUUUUUUAUAUUAUAACAUUAAUGUAUGAGUAAGUGAUCCAUAUUAUUAUGAUUAAAAGAUUAAAUUACCUUAGGGAUAACAGCGUAAUUUCUUUUGAGAGUUCUUAUCGAAAGAGAAGUUUGCGACC
rnacentral:rRNA from 1 species